GCUGGCGGCACGCCUAACACAUGCAAGUCGAACGAAGUAGCAAUACUUAGUGGCAGACGGGUGAGUAACAUGUGGGUAUCUUCCCUUUGGCCUGGAAUAACACGAGGAAACUUGUGCUAAUACCGGAUAAGUCUUUACGGAGAAAGCUUUAUGCACCAUUGGAUGAGCCCGCACUUGAUUAGUUUGUUGGUAGGGUAAUGGCCUACCAAGACUGUGAUCAAUAGCUGAUUUGAGAGGAUGAUCAGCCACAUUGGGACUGAGACACGGCCCAAACUCCUACGGGAGGCAGCAGUGGGGAAUCUUGCACAAUGGAGGAAACUCUGAUGCAGCGAUGCCGCGUGAGUGAAGAAGGCCUUUGGGUUGUAAAGCUCUUUCGUCGGGGAAGAAAAUGACUGUACCCGAAUAAGAAGGUCCGGCUAACUUCGUGCCAGCAGCCGCGGUAAUACGAAGGGACCUAGCGUAGUUCGGAAUUACUGGGCUUAAAGAGUUCGUAGGUGGUUGAAAAAGUUGGUGGUGAAAUCCCAGAGCUUAACUCUGGAACUGCCAUCAAAACUUUUCAGCUAGAGUAUGAUAGAGGAAAGCAGAAUUUCUAGUGUAGAGGUGAAAUUCGUAGAUAUUAGAAAGAAUACCAAUUGCGAAGGCAGCUUUCUGGAUCAUUACUGACACUGAGGAACGAAAGCAUGGGUAGCGAAGAGGAUUAGAUACCCUCGUAGUCCAUGCCGUAAACGAUGUGUGUUAGACGUUGGAAAUUUAUUUUCAGUGUC
rnacentral:rRNA from 1 species